CCUACGGGAGGCAGCAGUGGGGAAUCUUAGACAAUGGGGGCAACCCUGAUCUAGCCAUGCCGCGUGAGUGAUGAAGGCCUUAGGGUCGUAAAGCUCUUUCGCCAGGGAUGAUAAUGACAGUACCUGGUAAAGAAACCCCGGCUAACUCCGUGCCAGCAGCCGCGGUAAUACGGAGGGGGUUAGCGUUGUUCGGAAUUACUGGGCGUAAAGCGCACGUAGGCGGAUCAGAAAGUUGGGGGUGAAAUCCCGGGGCUCAACCCCGGAACUGCCUCCAAAACUACUGGUCUAGAGUUCGAGAGAGGUGAGUGGAAUUCCGAGUGUAGAGGUGAAAUUCGUAGAUAUUCGGAGGAACACCAGUGGCGAAGGCGGCUCACUGGCUCGAUACUGACGCUGAGGUGCGAAAGUGUGGGGAGCAAACAGGAUUAGAUACCCCUGGUAGUCCACACCGUAAAGCGAUGAAUGCCAGUCGUCGGGCAGUAUACUGUUCGGUGACACACCCUAACCGGAU
rnacentral:rRNA from 1 species